AGCCCGAUGGUGUAACGGUAGCACGAAAGAUUCUGAUUCUUUUAGUCUAGGUUCAAAUCCUAGUCGGGCUA
rnacentral:tRNA from 1 species